AUACGUAGGGGACGAGCGUUGUCCGGAAUUACUGGGCGUAAAGGGCGCGCAGGCGGAUAUUUAAGUCAGCUGUAAAAGGCAUGAGCUCAACUCAUGUAUGCGGUUGAAACUGGGUAUCUAGAGUGCUGGAGAGGUAGGCGGAAUUCCCGGUGUAGCGGUGAAAUGCGUAGAUAUCGGGAAGAACACCAGUGGCGAAGGCGGCUUACUGGCCAGCAACUGACGCUGAGGCGCGAAAGCCAGGGGAGCGAACGGGACUAGAUACCCCGGUAGUCCUGGCCGUAAACGAUGAAUGCUAGGUGUGGGUGUCGAGAGGCAUCCGUGCCGGAGUUAACGCGAUAAGCAUUCCGCCUGGGGAGUACGAUCGCAAGAUUGAAACUCAAAUGAAUUGACGGGG
rnacentral:rRNA from 1 species